rnacentral:rRNA from 1 species
AUUGAACGCUGGCGGCAUGCCUUACACAUGCAAGUCGAACGGCAGCACGGGAGCAAUCCUGGUGGCGAGUGGCGAACGGGUGAGUAAUAUAUCGGAACGUGCCCAGUAGUGGGGGAUAACUGCUCGAAAGAGCAGCUAAUACCGCAUACGACCUGAGGGUGAAAGCGGGGGAUCGCAAGACCUCGCGCUAUUGGAGCGGCCGAUAUCAGAUUAGCUAGUUGGUGAGGUAAGGGCUCACCAAGGCGACGAUCUGUAGCUGGUCUGAGGGGACGACCAGCCACACUGGGACUGAGACACGGCCCAGACUCCUACGGGAGGCAGCAGUGGGGAAUUUUGGACAAUGGGCGCAAGCCUGAUCCAGCCAUGCCGCGUGCGGGAAGAAGGCCUUCGGGUUGUAAACCGCUUUUGUCAGGGAAGAAACGGCUCCUACUAAUACUGGGGGCUAAUGACGGUACCUGAAGAAUAAGCACCGGCUAACUACGUGCCAGCCGCCGCAGUAA